UUUCCUGCCAGGCCCAGGUAUCAAAGCCUUAUGAUGUUGUGUCACUGGAGGGAUCACUUCACUUGUCCUUCCUGCUCCAAUCUUAUUUUCUUCUCCUUCAUUUGACACAGUCUUCUUUUUCUUCUGACACGGUCUUCUCUCCUCCUUGGCACCUUCUGCUCCUUUACCUUUCAUCCUAUUUUGCACCCUUAUGCUCCUUUCUCUUUCU